AUUGAACGCUGGCGGCAGGCCUAACACAUGCAAGUCGAGCGGAUGAAGGGAGCUUGCUCCUGGAUUCAGCGGCGGACGGGUGAGUAAUGCCUAGGAAUCUGCCUGGUAGUGGGGGAUAACGUCCGGAAACGGGCGCUAAUACCGCAUACGUCCUGAGGGAGAAAGUGGGGGAUCUUCGGACCUCACGCUAUCAGAUGAGCCUAGGUCGGAUUAGCUAGUUGGUGGGGUAAAGGCCUACCAAGGCGACGAUCCGUAACUGGUCUGAGAGGGUGAUCAGUCACACUGGAACUGAGACACGGUCCAGACUCCUACGGGAGGCAGCAGUGGGGAAUAUUGGACAAUGGGCGAAAGCCUGAUCCAGCCAUGCCGCGUGUGUGAAGAAGGUCUUCGGAUUGUAAAGCACUUUAAGUUGGGAGGAAGGGCAGUAAGUUAAUACCUUGCUGUUUUGACGUUACUAACAGAAUAAGCACCGGCUAACUUCGUG
rnacentral:rRNA from 1 species